UACGGAGGAUCCAAGCGUUAUCCGGAAUUAUUGGGUUUAAAGGGUCCGUAGGUGGUUUGCUAAGUCAGAGGUGAAAUCCUACCGCUUAACGGUAGCACUGCCUUUGAUACUGGCAAACUUGAGUUAUUGUGAAGUAGUUAGAAUGUGUAGUGUAGCGGUGAAAUGCAUAGAUAUUACACAGAAUACCGAUUGCGAAGGCAGAUUACUAACAAUAUACUGACACUGAGGGACGAAAGCGUGGGUAGCGAACAGG
rnacentral:rRNA from 1 species